UACGUAGGGUGCAAGCGUUGUCCGGAAUUAUUGGGCGUAAAGAGCUCGUAGGCGGUUUGUCGCGUCUGCUGUGAAAACUCAGGGCUUAACCCUGAGCCUGCAGUGGGUACGGGCAGACUAGAGUGUUGCAGGGGAGACUGGAAUUCCUGGUGUAGCGAUGAAAUGCGCAGAUAUCAGGAGGAACACCGGUGGCGAAGGCGGGUCUCUGGGCAGUAACUGACGCUGAGGAGCGAAAGCGUGGGGAGCGAACAGG
rnacentral:rRNA from 1 species